CAUAGGUAAUCAUGUCUGUCAUGUAACGGCGUGUCAUUUCACGAGAGACGAUGGAUUCUUUGAUGGGUUGGAAUUUGAAGGAUUGAAGAUCGUAAGGAGGUGUGUUGAGGGACAUGGAGACUGAAGAAUAGUUAUGGGAGGUGGAUUUGAUUAAGUGGGAGGUGCGGGUAGCAAUUGAUCUUCCAUUGAAGAAUGAGGAUUUAGGAGUUGAAGAGAGAGAAGUGGUGAUAGAUGAGGUGGCCAUUGUGGCUGCGAGAAAGAAGAGUAUUUUAGGAAUAGAAAGGUAAUUGAUAUUUGUGAGAGAAGAGUAG
rnacentral:lncRNA from 1 species